rnacentral:tRNA from 1 species
GUUGAUGCGACACUAGCUCAGUUGGUAGAGCGCAACCUUGCCAAGGUUGAGGUCACGAGUUCGAACCUCGUGUGUC